ACAUAUAAAGCCUAAGAUAGCAAAUUCCAGCAUUCAAAAGACCAUAAUCACCCAGAUGCAGAUUACCAAAUUGGACAUUAGCAAGUAAGUGGUGGGUGCAUCUGCUGUACCCGCCAGUGAACUAUAUUUAGAGGUAGACACCCAUCUGAAUAUUGAAAGCUGUUCCUUUCUUCUUCAAGAUUUGCUCAGCAGAAACAUCUAUAGAGUUGCAUCUUGUACCUACACAGCAACAUAGAUUUAAAUAUCUGCUGUGUACCAUCAGACAGAAGGGGAACAAUUCCUCAUUGCACAGAAAACAUGCAGUUUUGCACUCCAUGCAAAGCUUGGAGUGCUUUGCCAAUCUCUCUUCAUAUUGCUUGAGUGGAAUCUUUUUCAAAUGUAUCCUCUAUAAUUCCAUAUUGCUGAUAAACUGAGGCUCUGACAUACCACUGAUUGCUUCUGGCUCUCAAAGUUUCACCUCAGCCCUCCCAGCUGUCUCCUCUCAUUGUUAUUUUCACCCUUCUCCUUGACAGCAAUAUGCAGAAUCUCUGCUGUCUCCUUGUGUAACUCAAAGGUAUAUCCUUACCUUUUGAGUUCACAGUCCUGGGUAGUUUUUCCAUAUAUUGGAGUCCCCAGGCUUCCUGUGUGGUACUUAGAACAUUCCUUUUUUUUUUUUUUUUUCCUUUGCUUAUAGGACAAAGCUUAUUUUCAAGGGUUAGAACUUAAAUGUUUGGAUAUCAUAGACUGAUGAUAGAAUCAGAGAAUGGUAUGAGUUGGGAGGCUUCUAAAAGUUCAUCUAGUUCAAUCCAGGCAGGGACAUCUACUACAUCAGGCUGCUCAAAGUUCCAUCCAGCCUGGCUUCUCCAACACUUCCAGAGAUGGGGCAUGCACACAGCUUCUCUGGGCAGCUUAUUCCAGUGCCUCACAGAAUGUAAUCUUUCAAAUGGAAGAUGUUCUUCAGAGUAACAGAAAAGAUUGUAUGAUUGAUAUGUGCAAAGAUGUGUUCAAGGCAAGAGGUUUUGGGUUACAGUUAAGAAGCACAAAGUAAAACCAGAUGACUGAUGCUUCGUAGUGCAUUUGGAUUUGAAAGAGGACCAGCUCCCAACAAGCUGAAAGUACAGAAAUUCCAGAGCGAAGAUAGCAAUAGUGGUAUGGAUAAUAAAGCAGGGAACUCUGGCACAUGAAUGUGGACACAUGUAUCUCCAUGCUGUGGGGACUGCUUUUGCAGGGAAUGAGAACAGAAAACAAAAAACGUUUUUGUUAUUACAGGAAAAUAAGGCAUAAGGAUAGAGAAAUGCAGGAUUUCCAUAAGGAAUAACUGAGACUAUUACAUGGAGUCCCUGGAAUGAAGGGGAAAGAGAUGGCAUCACAAUGAUCUCUUGGAGCCAUUGUUGACCACUCUCUGGAGUUCCCAGUUCGAUGUGUAGCAGUGGUCAAAGAAGCUAGUGAAGGGUUAGGCAUCCUUUGGAGCAGAGGCUGGGCUUCAUCUGUGACUGGGAAGGACAGAGCUGGAGAAGGUGUUUUAGGAUCAGGAAGAUCCCAGCCAUGCUUGUUUGGUGAAGGCAGCAUCAUUAUGUCAAUGUUCCUCUGUCUGGAGGCUUUCAGGAGCAGUUAUGGGAAGAUGUCCACAAAAGCCCACCCCCACAAAGGAAGCUGUUUCAUUUUGCAUGGAGAUAUCAAUGGUUCAAUGGACUAUUCAGUGAAGACGCGAAUGUCGCUCGCUGCUCUGAGGGUGGUAUUCAGCUGGGAGGAGGGAUACUUGCAGCUAAGGAAUCCACAAGUAUUUCAGAAUAAAUAAGUACUGGAGCAAAAUGC